GUCCCUGUGGGCUCCCUCGGCGGUGGGCCCCCAGCCGAGGAGGAGUCGAGGCCCGCCUGGGCGCCCCCCCCCCCCCCCCCCGCCCCGGGCUCCUGCCUCCUGGGGGACACGAAGGGGGUCAGGCCCGGGCUCCCCGUAGUCAUCGUGUCCCGCUCUCUGCCCAGGAAGGGGGGUCCUUUCCUAGAUCUUCGGGGGGGGGGGGUCCCUCCCCCCUGAGUCCCGACGCCGCGUCCCCGGUCAGCAGCGUCUCCCCGCCGUGCAGCCGCCACCCGGGCCUCCGGACAAAGGAUUCUAGUAGUUUCCACGUCGGGUGAAGGACAGCGUUGGCGUGCUUCCUCCCGUCAGCACACUGGCCGCGGGCCCCACCUGCAAACAGAGGUCUCCAGUGAGGAAUAUGGCGGCAGCCAGCAUCCCCUACAGAAAGCACCCCCUUCAGCCGACAGCCCAGCCGCGCCCCGCCGGCCGCCCCGCCCCGGAUUCUCCCCCCUGGCCCACCGUACCUUCCAGGCCCUCCUCGUGUCAUUUCACUACGUGAAAUUACUAAGCAUUCUUUCCCAGCUGUGUAUGGCUUUUACACUAUUUGUGGCGCCGUGCUCCUCACCCAAAAUUCAGGUAUUAAAGGUUUACCUAAGGAACAGCACCAUA